rfam:Oryza sativa Japonica Group DNA, chromosome 3, cultivar: Nipponbare, complete sequence.
AAAAAAAACAAACCUGUUUUUCGUGCCUAACGUUUGAUCGUCCGUCUUAUUUAAAAAAAUUAUGAAAAAAAUUAAAAAGAUAAGUCACACAUAAAGUAUUAAUCAUGUUUUAUCAUCUAACAACAAUGAAAAUACUAAUUAUAAAAAAAUUUCAUAUAAGACGGACAGUCAAACGUUGGCACGGAAAUCCAGGGUUUGUUUUUUU